AGCGAACGCUGGCGGCAUGCUUAACACAUGCAAGUCGCGCGGGUGGUUUCGGCCAUCAGCGGCGGACGGGUGAGUAUCGCGUAGGAAUGUAUCCCGAGGUGGGGGACAACCCUGGGAAACUGGGGCUAAUACCGCAUGGGGCCUGUGGGUCAAAGCCUUAGGGCGCCUUGGGAGCAGCCUGCGUCCGAUUAGGUAGUUGGUGGGGUAAAGGCCUACCAAGCCUGCGAUCGGUAGCUGGUCUGAGAGGACGAUCAGCCACACUGGGACUGAGACACGGCCCAGACUGCUACGGAGGGCAGAAGUGGGGAAUAUUGGACAAUGGGCGCAAGCCUGAUCCAGCAAUGCCGCGUGGGUGAAGAAGGUCUUCGGAUUGUAAAGCCCUUUCGGCGGGGACGAUGAUGACGGUACCCGCAGAAGAAGCCCCGGCUAACUUCGUG
rnacentral:rRNA from 1 species